GAGACAGCCUAUGAGUGCAAUGGAUCAGGAACUGGCCCAGCUCUUUGUUCAGGCCUUCCCACAGUAUGAUGUCUAUCCCCUUUGGGCUUAUUUUCCACAAGACAUGCAGCACCUUUCUUCCGAAGCUGUACUUAACACCCUCAAGGCCAUUGUCCCCAAGAAUGCCGAAGAAACCAAAGUAUGGUGAGACUUUAAGUCAACUCUCAGGAACUCCACAAUUAUAGCACUUGAUGUGACCGGAAACUCUAUCCUCUUCACUUCUCCUCUCCAUCUAUCAUAUGGAACCAUCAUCUUACCCAAAGGCUUACCUGCUAUUCUAGAAUAGGAAAACGCUGUAGAGAAGGCACUCAUUCACCUUGAGUUGUCUACUGCAUAUUAGAUAGCACAGCACCCGUCCUUAAGCUAAGCUUUCCUAGACAGAUUCUGUUUAAAUUCUGGUUGCAUCAUGCCAGUAGGGAAAACAUCAGAGCAGAGAGAAUCAAUGUCUUUAACUAAGUUUCUAUAAUGGAAAUUUUGUUUUAAAAGUCAUUUAAUCGAUUCUUCUGUAAAUGCUAUCAUUUGGAGUAAUUGUGUGCAGUAACUGAGAUUUUCUUUCUCCUCUUUUCAAUAAAUUACUUUUUAAGGCACAAA